GAUUCAAUGACGGAGUGGUUAACGUGCCAGGUUUAGGCCCUGGUCUCUUCGGAGGCGUGAGUUCGAACCUCACUUGAAUCA